UGAUCCUGGCUCAGAUUGAACGCUGGCGGUAUGCUUAACACAUGCAAGUCGAACGGAAACGAUACUAGCUUGCUAGUAGGCGUCGAGUGGCGGACGGGUGAGUAACGCGUAGGAAUCUGCCUGAUAGUGGGGGAUAGCCCGGAGAAAUUCGGAUUAAUACCGCAUAAUCUAUUCGUAGUAAAGUGGGGGACUUUCGAGCCUCACGCUAUCAGAUGAGCCUGCGUAAGAUUAGCUAGUUGGUAGGGUAAAAGCCUACCAAGGCGACGAUCUUUAGCUGGUCUGAGAGGAUGAUCAGCCACAUCGGGACUGAGACACGGCCCGAACUCCUACGGGAGGCAGCAGUGGGGAAUAUUGGACAAUGGGGGCAACCCUGAUCCAGCAAUACCGCGUAUGUGAAGAAGGCCUGAGGGUUGUAAAGCACUUUCAAUUGUGAAGAAAAGUUAGCGGUUAAUAACCGUUAGCCUUGACGUUAGCUUUAGAAGAAGCACCGGCUAACUCCGUGCCAGCAGCCGCGGUAAUACGGAGGGUGCAAGCGUUAAUCGGAAUUACUGGGCGUAAAGCGUGCGUAGGCGGUUUAUUAAGUCAGAUGUGAAAGCCCCGGGCUUAACCUGGGAACUGCAUUUGAAACUGGUAAACUAGAGUAUGGUAGAGGAAAGUGGAAUUUCUGGUGUAGCGGUGAAAUGCGUAGAUAUCAGAAGGAACAUCAAUGGCGAAGGCAGCUUUCUGGACCAAUACUGACGCUGAGGUACGAAAGCGUGGGUAGCAAACAGGAUUAGAUACCCUGGUAGU
rnacentral:rRNA from 1 species